GUGAGGUAGAGCGUCCGCUUAUGACUCUGAAGAAUACGGUUCCAAUCCUGCUAUGGAAAAUAUUUUCACAUUUAAGUUGAUCUUUGGCGAUAUUUUUCAAUUGAUUUCAAACACUAGCAUAUCAUCUGAAUUUGAAUGUUGAUGUUAAUAUAGGGUUAGGAAAAAGUAAAACUGGGAAGAAGAAAAAAACCACCUCAAAUGCGGUAAUUCUGGGAAAACAAGCCAUGUCUGAUAUAAAUUGAGAAGCAGCCUUCAGGUUUAUAUAGACAUUCACACCAAUCUCAAAACCCAGGGCUUGUAGUCAGUCUGCAACGCCAUCCCUGGUCAGUGUGACAUGAGUGUGGAGAUGAUGAGUGCCCAAGUUAUUUUACGAGCGCUUCAUUGUUUUGAGUUUCGUGUUUGCUUCGUUUUUUUUCAGGAGUCUACUGCUUAAUUGCUCCGGCUAAUAUUCCCGAAGUAGUUGAUGCGACAAAGCAACGACAAAUGUCUACUUUUCUCGUGUUUAUCAGGGCCCAUAUAAUUUACCCUGACAGAGAUGACAGUGCCGCCACUUACACAACCUCCGGACACAACUCUUCCCAGCCCCUGAGAGGGAAGAUUGUGCAGGUUGUCUGUCUUGCCACCGACAUCAUGUCAUCUUCAUACCCUGGAGGUUUUACUUGCCAAUAACAGCAAGCUUGUCUCAGUGCCAGAAGAAAUAGGAAAAGUAGAAAAGCUCA